rnacentral:lncRNA from 1 species
GGGACUCAGGUAUCAGUCAGUCUGCUGCUGUUGUUUAAGCCCCAUGCUGUUCAAACACAACAGAAACCAUGUUUGUCUGUAACUGUCAUCUCUUCUUUUCCUCUCCUGCACUUUCUGAAUGCAAGUUUUGGGAGGAAUCAUUGCCAAGAGAUUCUCAGUUCUGUUGCCCAGAGGGUUGUUAGACCUCUACACACCAUGGAAAUAUACCCAGGAACAUACUAAGCACUGACUUAGGCAAGCCAAACAUAGGCUGAGAGGAUUCCCCCAGCCAGAACUCCAGACCAUUUCAGGGAGGCAAUCAGUCAAGACCUCAUUAAAGUGGCACAGAUCCCAAUUAAGAUAAACAUUUAAUAGGGAGUAUCUUCCACACAUGAAAGGAAGAGUUUAUCUAGACAAGUCGUCAAUAGGAAGCUCUGAUAGAGAAAACUACUGACUACUCUUAUGAAGUUUAUUAAACUCAUCACUGUGUACCUUAAGUUUAAAAAACUGAGGUCCAAUUUUUUUACAGGUAUUCCUGUUUAUCUUCUGAUGUCUGGAUAUUACAGCCACAUUCAUGACUGAGAUCUCCAAUGAUAACCUCUAAUUCUGUUUUCUACAUUAAAGCUGUCAUUCUUCUAUAGCAAACCAGUUUUCUAAUAUUGUGUGAUACUAAAAUAAUAUUGUCUGUAGUAUGCAGCAAGAUUUCAAGUUUUGGAUAAUCUGAAAAUCUAGAGAUUUUCUAAUACAGUUUGUACAAAGGAUUGCCCUUCCUGGAAAAGCUGUAGCUUGCAUGCACAUAAUAUAGUCAUCUGGAGAACAUCACCUAUCAUCAGCCAUGAAGAGAUGGGAUGGUGAUGGAAUGCUGUAGUAAUCAGAAGAAAUGUCUUCAGUGACAACACUGAAGAUGCCAUAAGCAAAAGGAUUUCAGCAGCUCUCUGCAAUUGAUCAAGGAAAUAACCAGCUCAUCAGGUAUCUUGUAGAUUCAAAUACUCUCUAAGUGAAAAUACAGACUGACUAAGUGAAAAUACAGACUGAAGCAUGCCACAUGUAGCCUGCUGUGACUUCCUUUCAAGUUUCCUUUCUGUACUAAGAGGGUGGGAACGAUUCCCUCAAGCUUUUACACCAGUCAUUGAAUCUGAGCACUGCUGAGCCUGCAGAAGGAUUUGUUCCAGUUCAAAGUCAGACUGGAACGCUAAACUGCCUUAAUUGAUUUCUUGCUUAUCACAUCCUCUUGAACAUAGUGAACAUUUUCUUGCUGCAGAGAUGAUGAAUUCACUCUAAUAAAGCAUUAUUUUCUGCAAUUAUCAGAAAGUCAGGAUGAACAACAGGAAGAUCUGGAAAGUUUGCCCCUUUUCUGGGAGUUUGCUUGUAAGUGUGGUUACACGUGACUCGCAUGGUUGUGUGUGCAUCAUUUGAUGGCCUUUUAUUCUUUCCUGAAAAUAUAAAAAAAAUGUAAAUGAGAUCUGCAUGGGACAGGAAGUCCCUUAAUAAACCAAAGAAAUCAAAGAACUUAGCUUGCCUUCAAAAAAAGAAUUCCUCAGCCUCUAUGGUAAUUUGAGAAACUGGAUGAAGUAAAUAAGAGAUUCGCAGCAUUUUUGAAGUCCUGGUACUACUGCAUUUCAUAUUGUUACAGCGUAAUCUGACAUGGCCUUUAAGAGUAUAGCAAUACUUACUGUUCUUCAUCAUUCUGUUUAGCUAACAGUCUAACUUCUUGCCACCCCACUUUUGAGUUCAAGUUACUUGGUCAUGCUAACACUCAGCUGGCUGAAAAGAAGCUCAAUUUCUAGUAUACGGGAGGAGAGAAGAAAAUACAAGGCAAGGGCAAAAGAAAGGGGAGGAAGAGAAACAAACUGAUCUGUUUGUUGUUGGGGUAGUAAGAACUGCAAAGUAAGUAUAUAAUACAGAGGUGAAAGGUAGAAAAACAAAAGAAACUAUAUGAGGUACAUCAGAGAAGAGAAACAAAAGGAAGAAAAGUGUAGGGGAAAAGCAUCUAAACUGAAAAAAAGAAAGAAAA